UCUGAUGCAGCGACGCCGCGUGAGUGAAGAAGGUCUUCGGAUCGUAAAACUCUGUCCUUGGUGAAGAAGAAAUGACGGUAGCCAAGGAGGAAGCCCCGGCUAACUACGUGCCAGCAGCCGCGGUAAUACGUAGGGGGCGAGCGUUGUCCGGAUUUACUGGGCGUAAAGGGUGAGUAGGCGGUUAUAUAUGUCAGAUGUAAAAGGCUAUGGCUUAACCAUAGUUAGCAUUUGAAACUGUAUGACUUGAGUGCAGGAGAGGUAAGUGGAAUUCCUAGUGUAGCGGUGAAAUGCGUAGAUAUUAGGAGGAACACCAGUGGCGAAGGCGACUUACUGGACUGUAACUGACGCUGAGUCACGAAAGCGUGGGUAGCAAACAGGAUUAGAUACCCUGGUAGUCCACGCUGUAAACGAUGAGUGCUAGGUGUUGGGUAGCGAUACUCAGUGCCGAAGUAAACACAAUAAGCACUCCGCCUGGGGAGUACGGUCGCAAGACUGAAACUCAAAGGAAUGGACGGA
rnacentral:rRNA from 1 species